ACAAUCCUGAUGUGUACGUUUAGUAUAUUCGUUUUGACCGAACAUUAUAUACUUGGGAGCUUGAAAUGUUUCUAUGUUGCGUGCAUGCCUCUACUUACUUUUACCGAGGACGUACAAAGUUUAGAACAGGGCACCCACCUGCCAGGAGCGGGAUCAAAACUGGAAAUUAAACGGCACAAUUGGGAUUGUA
rnacentral:other from 1 species